UGGGAUAUAGCCAAAUUGGUAAGGCACUCGACUCUGAAUCGAGCAAUUACAGGUUCGAACCCUGUUAUCCCAA
rnacentral:tRNA from 1 species